rnacentral:rRNA from 1 species
GAUGAACGCUAGCUACAGGCUUAACACAUGCAAGUCGAGGGGUAACGAGAGGAAAGCUUGCUUUCCUUGUCGACGACCGGCGCACGGGUGAGUAACGCGUAUCCAACCUGCCCCCAACUAGGGAAUAACCUUGCGAAAGUAAGACUAAUACCCUAUAAUUUCCUCAGAUGACAUCUGACGAGGAAUAAAGAUUUAUCGGUUGUGGAUGGGGAUGCGUCUGAUUAGCUUGUUGGCGGGGUAACGGCCCACCAAGGCAACGAUCAGUAGGGGUUCUGGGAGGAAGGUUCCCCACAUUGGAACUGAGACACGGGCCAAACUCCUACGGGGGGCAGCAGUGAGGAAUAUUGGUCAAUGGGCGGAAGCCUGAACCAGCCAAGUAGCGUGCAGGAUGACGGCCCUAUGGGUUGUAAACUGCUUUUAUACAGGAAUAAAGUUAGCCACGUGUGGUUAUUUGUAGGUACUGUAUGAAUAAGGACCGGCUAAUUCCGUGCCAGCAGCCGCGGUAA